UUGCUGAUUCUGUGCAGACAUUCAGCCAUUGUUGGUGAUGAAAGAAGAAACUCUCCCUGAACACCAGGAAUGGAAUCUGAGAGUUGACAGGAGGAAAUGAAAGAAGAGAAGUUGUGGAUACGUCAGCAGGGACAGCAGCUUCAGCAGCUGGAGGAGGCAGAUCUCACCAAGUUUGGUUUCACUGCCGUCCCUGUGAAGAGUGAAAAUGAUGAUGAAAAACCAGAGUAAUCACAGCUUCAUCAAAGGCGAAGUGA